CGUGUACAUGUGUACGUGUGGUGCCCGGUAUUCGAUUAUAACACGCACAGAAAAGAUUCCGAGGUGCCAGAGUGAGCCAGAGGGGGCCCUCUGGCAUAAUAGUCGUAAUCCAUCGCCAGCACACGACGCACAUACUACAAACUUGGUCACAGUUGCUCCUCUCGAUUACGCAAUUACUUUAAAAGAGGGCAAACGGAAACGAUACCGCGCAAGCAUGUUGCGAUGCUGUGCAGCAAGCUCUCGCCUGGCGUUGCUGGCUGGUUUGGCGAGGGUGGGCACGAGUACGCUGUCCCAGUACCCUCGCUGGUGCAGUCGCAGCAGCAAUACGUGCGACACUAACGGCACGACCGGUAGCAACACCAAGUCUAGCUCCGAGCAGGACGCGCACCAGAUGUCGGGCGACGCCGCUGAGAGAGCGAGCGGGUCUGCGGUCGUAAACGGUGCCCCCAGUGGCCACUCCGCCACCAGCGAAAUCCAGCAGCGCCACAAGGGUUUCAUCGAGCCCUCUGAUGAUGUCGUCAUGGAGACUGCGCGCAAGGCGCUCGCGCGGGAAGGACGGGAUGCAAUCCCGGAGGCGAUUGUGUGGAGCUGGGAGACGACGGCACCUCCCAUCCUCGCCAGGGGAAAACAGAAUAUCUACGACCUCACCGAUGAUAUCCCAAAGCACGUGAAGCCGUUCUGGUACCACGAGUAUUACCAGCAACGCGAGUACUUCCGGCUGCAGCGCGAGAAGCGGCCCCUGAAGGAGCGCAUAAAGUUGUGGGCUGGCGUGCUGGCAGCCAUGGCCGUCGCUGGGGCAGUGCUCACAUUCUUUCGGGUAUGGGUGGAGCAGCCACGCGAGAUUCGCCAGCUGCGUGAGGAGCUGUUGCAGCACACAUACGGGCGUGUUCUCGAGCUAGCAGCCGGGCACGGACAGAAUAUCGGCGCCUAUCCGUACGCAGUCCACGAGGUCGUGCUGACGGACUCCAACCCGCAGCAGUUGCAGGCCAUGCGCUACCGCAUCCCCCAUACCGCUUAUCCAAAGUACGACGUGAAGCGCGUGCGCUCGGAAACCCUGGACAAUUUCAAGGACGGCGAGUUCGACUGUGUCGUAGACAUGUUCGGCCUCUGCCACCUACGCGACCCCGUCAUGGCGCUGCGUCAGAUGCAGCGCGUCGUGAAGCCGAGUGGAAUGAUCUUGCUGCUGGAGCACGGCGCGAGUCCGUACCCGCCCGUAAACUGGUUUCUCGACUACUUUGCGCAGCAGCACAAGGUCAACACGCACGGUUGCAAGUGGAACUCCCCGAUCCGCCAGUACCUUCAGGAGUCACGGUUGGAGGUGAAGGAAAUGCGCAACAUGCACUACGGCACCACCUACUACGUCGUGGCUUACCCGGAGGUUCUGGAGGCGUACAAGGAUCAUGAGAAAGAGGCGGAGCAAGUGAAGGAGAGGAGUAAAUCCAGAUAAUGAUGUGAGGCAGUGCACCCCCACCACCACCCUCUGGAGCGAGUGAAGUCGAGAAAGAUAAGUGUUGUCACAUUCCUGUAUGCCUGUGUGUGUGUGUGUGUGUGGAGGCCCAGCAGCACCCUCUAUCCCUGUCAAUGCCGAGCCACUUGCGGUGGUGACGCGGGGCCAGGCACCCGCGACGUGGUGGUGCCAGAGCGCUUCAUCGCUGCUCAUGCCGGCAGCCAUGUCGUGGACGGUGUUGCGUCGGAGCGGCCUGCGACAGCGAGCACGCGUGUGCCAUCCAUGUGGUGGGCAGCGUGUCAGCGCGACUCGAACGUGCCCCGCCCGGCCCUCGCACUGCCUACUGGUGGUGGGCAACCUGCGUGCCACCGCGAGGGAUGCACCAGGGAUGGCGACUGGCAUGGUGUGAGCCGCUGUGAGGCGACAUGCGAGGCGGCGGAUCGGUAGGUCUCGAGGCGGUGCUGAGCCGACGGAGUCGGUGCACUGCUGCACUGGCGCGUGUCUACGGCUGCUUUGCACCACGAGAUGGGUCUGUGACUGGCCGGAGUAGAGUGCAGCUGAAAUCAUGUUGUAUGAAAGGGAAUGGACACACUUUGGAUAAUAGUAAAAUGUCCCUACCUUUCGGUGGUGGUGGUCUUGCGGGCCGUCGUCGGCAUGCAAGCCGAAGCGGCAAGGGGCUGCUGCGUGCCUGCCCAUCCUUCUCUCUCAAAAAAAAAACUUUUCCUCUUGCGUGGACCUGUAGCUGCUCAUGUGCACGCUCGGCUCAGAGUCAGGCGAAUCAUCUGCACACACGGUGCCAUGGGUUG
rnacentral:misc_RNA from 1 species